rnacentral:tRNA from 1 species
GGUUCCGUAGUGUAGUGGUUAUCACGUUCGCUUCACAUGCGAAAGGUCCCCGGUUCGAUCCCGGGCGGAACCA